rnacentral:lncRNA from 1 species
GUCUUUUCGAGGUGGGAGCCGACUGUUGUGAGGUAUGGUGCUGGGUGUAGAUGCAAUGUGGCUCUCGAUAGCACCUUAUGGACAGUUGUGUCCCAAAGGAGGGAUGACAAUAGCUACUGAAGUCCUAAAGAGCAAGCCUAACUCAAGCCAUUGGCAUACAGGCAUUAGACAGAAAAUUAGAAGUUGAAAUGGUGGAGUGCAACUUGUCUGGACCAGCUUUAUUUUUCUGGUAAGUAUUAAUGAAAAUGCUGAUAGUGAUAUGCUUACUGCUGAGCUAAUGGUUUAAGGCUUGGCUGAUGAAUACUGACUGUUUUCCUUGAACAUGUUUGGAACAGUGUGUAUUUUCCUUGAGCAUGUUUGGAACGGGGUUUGUGUAAUGAUGUUGAUCAAAUGUCUGACCUGAAAUGAGCGUGUAGACAGAAGGUAACACUGAAGAACCCUGUGACAGACAACUUUGAAAAGAGUUUAAUGAUGUUUAGCAUUUUAAUAGAAGGCCUCAUUUGUAUUCCACCUCCCGGUAACAUUUUUAUCUGUGGAUGGCUUGCUUGGGUAAGGACAUGAAGAUAGUUCCUCUAGCUUGUUUGUUUCUGAAAUGUGGUCUUACUAAUUGAUGACUGUUACACAGAGUCGUUUUGUUAGAAAAUUUUGAAAAGUAGGCAGUAUGAAAGUACUGUAUUAAAGCAGUUAUUUAAAAGCAUUAGAUAAGAUAUUUGAAAGUAAAUAUUUGAAUAUUGUUUACUUUGAAAAGUAAAUGAUAUUCAGUGUAGGAAAUGGUGUGAAACUUUUUCAGGUGCCGAUGUUUGGAGACCUUUUAAAGGUAUGUUUUAUUGAUGUUAACAUGUUUAUUGAGUGAGCUACUGUUAGUGAUGAUUUUAAAAUUAAAGCAGAUGGGAAUCUCUCUGAAAGAAAAUGGAGAUUAAUCUUAAACUGAAACAGUAGUUGGGAAAUCUUUUAGAAAUCCACCUAUUACUUCUACCUGUUGGUAAAGGAGAUUAAAUUUCUGCAGGUAUGGAGAGUCGACUUGACUACACCGUGUGGAGCAAGUUUUAAAGAAGCAAAGGACUCAGAAUUCAUGCUUGAAGAAAUGCAGGUUAGUUUAAACUUUUAAGGAAAUUUUUAAGGUGGCAAAAGGUUUUAGUGGCAUAUACACCUUAAUCUGUAGAUGGGAGUGAUUAGCUGUUUGAAAGUUGAAAUGUGACUGAAAAGGAAAUUGAGUAGGGAAAUUUUAAAUGGGAUUAUUUUUCAUCUUCAAACAGGCAGACCUGUUAUCCUAAACUAGGUGAGUCAGCUUUUGGUACAUGUGAUAAUUUUCAAUGUAACCAAUGAUGUAAUGAUUCUGCCAAAUGAAAUAUAAUGAUAUCACUAUAAAACCGUUCCAUUUUGAUUCUGAGGUUACUCUACUAACAAGCAUCACACGUUUGUUUUUUGCCGUGAUUAAUAUGUUGUCUUUGCUUUCAGGGUUUUUAAUGACUACAGCAAGCAAGCAUGUAGCUUUACCGCUUGAAAGGUGAGGAUUGGAAAUAUUGGGACUAUUAUAAUUGCAGAAUACAUGAUGAUCUCAGUCCAGCUUGAACUCUCUCACUGAUUACCUGAUGACAAUAAAAGAUCUGAUAUUCUGCAU